UCGAGGUGCUCCCUGUGAGUCGACUGGCGACAAAUGAAAUGUCUUUGGGCGUUUUUCAGUUGCUUUUUAUGCAGGGCUUCCUGUGGAACGCAGGAAUUGGACGGACAAUCCCAAACCGGAAUUCCUGACUCAUACUGACCUUCCCUGCGUACAAACUAUUCGAAUGAACUACCACAAUGUGCUGAAGAACCAUGGGAACCCUUCGCUCCGGGGUCACAGGAUUUCCAUGCUGAGCAGCCAAACAGGACAUCCUGUCGUCCAAGGCCUGCCACCAUACCAUCCCUCCCCUGUCACCCGUAGCGUUAGACAAAGCCAAGGCAUGUGCUCAUCAACAGCCCUCCUGGAAAUGAACAGACUUUGUGCUGGUGGUCCCAGCACUUCCUGUGCUCCACUUCAACAGGCAGUGUGAGUUUCAAAAUACAUCAUUCAAAACGGCUGUAGAAUUCUG